rnacentral:lncRNA from 1 species
CUGCUGCUUCUCAUCCCAGGAACUGGCUCAAGCUUCUCCAGGUCAAGCCACUUGGCACACAGCAGUUAUGCUCCCUUGACUCAGCCGUGGGACUACAGGGAGCCAUGCCAGAGAAGAAAACCAGGUAUGCGGGGAAAUUGAGACUUGAACUCAGGUCUGGCGGACUGCAAAGCUGACACCUGUCUGCUACAAGCAGUUUCCCCUUCGCAUCUCAGGUCAGGAAACUUAGAGAUUAUCCAGGCCAACCAUCCUUCAGAGCAAUCAGUGAAAAUUCCAGCUGGCGUCUCCAGUGAUGGGCAGCUUACUGUCUCCCACGGCAGCACAGAACACAUUUGGACACCUGAGACCAUUAGAAAGAUGGCUGUUCACUAUCACUGAGGAGGGGCAACAUCACUUCCCAUGAAAAUGCUGCUGCUAAGAUCCUCCUCAACACCCCUGUCAAAAGGGGCACACCUGGGCACCUGAAGAAACCUUAACAACUCAAUGAUUUCACAAUUGUCAUUCAUAUACCAAGCAGGAUGUUCUAUUCUGUGAAUGUACCUGUGUUUUAAAGAAUAAGAACACCAGCGAUAUAAAUGCUUAAAUGAAAAGUACAUGGGGGAGGAUGGGUGGCCCAGAGCCACAAGAUCCAAUAGUCCUACUAAUAGCUAAAGGGAGGCUGGUAAUGUGCAAAUCAGUCUCCAUUUCAGGGCCUCAACAUGACGAAGUCAUCACAUUCACAAACUAGACUCUGGGCCUUUUCGAAGAUCUAGAGCCAAAACCUCUGCUCUACUCCUUAACGAAGUCAGGCAUCCUGCAGUGACUAUGUGAGCCUAGUUUUGGAGGACAGUGCAAAGUGGAAAGUGGGUGAUACAAUUUAGAUCUGUGUCCCCACCCAAAUCUCAUGUCCAAUUGUAAUUCCCAGUGUUGGAGGUGGGGCCUAGCGGAAGGUGAUUGGAUUAUGAGGGUGGGUUUCUCAUAAAUGGCUUAGCACCAUCCUCUUGGUGCUGUUCUCAUAAUACUGAGUGAGUUCUCACGAGAUCUGGUUGUUUAGAAAUCUGUGACACCUCCCCACACCCCGCUCCUGCUUCCACGAUGUGACAUGCCUUCUCCCAUUUUACCUUCUGCCAUGAUUGUAAGUUUCCUGAGGCCUCCGCAGAAGCUGAGCAAAUGCCAGCAUCAUGCUUCCUAUAUAGCCUGCAGAACCAUGAUCCAAUUAAACCUCUCUUCUUUAUCAAUUACCCAGUCUCAGGUAUUUAUUUACAGCAAUGCAAGAAUGAACUAGUAUAGUGGGAGUCCAAGAGGAUGUUGGAAAUGCUGGAGAAACGAACUUCUAAGGAACAGCAAGGGGGCAGCUGUUGGGACCUCACACCAAGGCUCAAGGAUACUCAAUUCAGAUGUGGUCCGGUGAGUUGUGUGUUCCUGCUGUUUAUAAUCAACAAAUCCAUUUUUGUGGAGUUGGUUUGUUUUUGCUCAGUGGACCAGCAUCUCGUGCUUUUCAAACGUGGAAAAUAAUGAAAAUAGCUUUAAUAACGGGGUGACUUUUUCACCGUGGCUUCCCCUGAAGAACAGAUGUCCAGAACCCACAGAGGAUGCUCAGAGAGAAA